AGGUUAUUGAAGGAGAUCCUGUACAGGUGUGUGCAUAACUGGAUAACUGCUAUGACCAGUGGCCUGAAUUCCUUACGAUUGCCCUAUCUGAAGAUGGUGACAACAGAUAUUGAGAAAGUUGCCAUUCUGCAUUGGAAUACAAGGAGAACUAUUCUCCCCUGGAUUGAAGGGGGCAGGGAGAGACACUACACCCACUGAGGCAAUAUCCCAAACCAGAAAUCAGUGUUCUGCCCUUUUGCAACACAUGAAAUAUAUCAGCACUUGUUUUCUUCAUCUUUCUUUUUCUUUUCAAGCUAAAUACACAGCUUAUGAAUAAAGGAAACAGAAGAGUAAAAUUGUUGUGUAUAUGCUUUAGU